CUCCAGACUCCUACGGGAGGCAGCAGUGGGGGAUAUUGCACAAUGGGGGAAACCCUGAUGCAGCGACGCCGCGUGGGUGAAGGAGCGUUUCGGCGCGUAAAGCCCUAUCGGCAGGGAAGAAGGAGGACGGUACCUGACUAAGAAGCCCCGGCUAACUACGUGCCAGCAGCCGCGGUAAUACGUAGGGGGCCAGCGUUAUCCGGAUUCACUGGGUGUAAGGGGAGCGUAGACGGCGACGCAAGUCUGGAGUGAAAGCCCGGGGCCCAACCCCGGGACUGCUCUGGAAACUGCGGCGCUGGAGUACGGGAGGGGCAGGCGGAAUUCCUGGUGUAGCGGUGAAAUGCGUAGAUAUCAGGAGGAACACCGGUGGCGAAGGCGGCCUGCUGGACUGCGACUGACGUUGAGGCCCGAAAGCGUGGGGAGCAAACAGGAUUAGAUACCCCUGUA
rnacentral:rRNA from 1 species